CAGUCGCCGCGGUAAUACGAGGGGGGCGAGCGUUGUUCGGAAUUAUUGGGCGUAAAGGGUGCGUAGGCGGUUUGACAAGUCUUAUGUGAAAUCUCUGGGCUCAACCCAGAGUCUGCAUGGGAAACUGUCGGGCUUGAGUAUGGGAGAGGUGAGUGGAAUUUCCGGUGUAGCGGUGAAAUGCGUAGAUAUCGGAAGGAACACCUGUGGCGAAAGCGGCUCACUGGACCAUUACUGACGCUGAUGCACGAAAGCUAGGGGAGCAAACAGGAUUAGAUACCCGCGUAGUCCCUGUCUCUUAUAC
rnacentral:rRNA from 1 species